AGAGAGAGAAUUCAUCAUUUUGUGUGCAGCAGUUUUAAUUAUUUUUUUUUCUAAUUUAAAUUUUGCUUUAGACCAAAUGAGAAUCAUUUUGUUGCCCAUCCACUGGAUCUGUCGAAGGAUAAGGAAAAAAGCCAACAACACCAACACGGUCAACAAGGUUCUUUGUUUGUUUACCCCUUGGCUGGUGAAAGAUUGUUGUGCAUCAAGUUAACCUGUGGCUGUUCCUUGUUGCUGGUGUGUUACGGAAGUUGCAGGAAGUUUAGCGUUUAUUUUCGCGUAGUUGCUGUCCAAUGUGGCACGUUGUUGCAGCCUAUGCUGGUGUCUGGUGAAAGAUCUUUCUGCAUCAAGUUCAACUGGUUGUUCCUUGUCGGUGGUGUUGUGUUACCAAAAUUGCGUCAUCAAUCAUCAUAUUGUUAAAUUGUCAUAGUGUCUGCAGUUAUCGUUCAGGAGUUAAGAAGGAACAAAAACAAAUAUGGGAUGUUUAUGUCUAACAAAUAGUAAACAUGUUUUCGGGAUUGGGAAAGGAAAGUGGAGGAUGUAAGGGGGUAAUUCAAGUUUGGAUAAACAAUCAGUUAAUCUAUAACCCUACAAACAUAUCCCUACCAAUUAAUCUCCAAACCCCACUAACAUACACCUAUCAACUCUCAAAUUUAUACCCUAAACCACAUAAACUAAUGUUAAACCCUAACAAUGUGAUGUCUGUAAUAAAUAAAAAAUUUAAUACCUAAAA
rnacentral:lncRNA from 1 species